CCCUUAGAUGUUCUGGGCCGCACGCGCGCUACACUGAUGCAUUCAACGAGUCUAAAACCUGCUCUGAUAGGGGUGGGUAAUCUUUUGAAUGUGCAUCGUGAUUGGGAUAGAUAAUUGCAAUUUUUCAUCUUCAACGAGGAAUGCCUAGUAAACGCAAGUCAUCAGCUUGCAUUGAUUACGUCCCUGCCCUUUGUGCACACCGCCCGUCGCUCCUACCGAUUGAAUGAUCCGAUGAAUAUCAUGGAUUGAGGAUGCAAGUAGGUUCGCCUAUCUUCAUCUUCGAGAAGUGAAGUAAAUCUUAUCAUUUAGAGGAAGGAGAAGUCGUAAC
rnacentral:rRNA from 1 species